GGGGCCAUAGCUCAGCUGGUAGAGCGCUACAAUGGCAUUGUAGAGGCCGCCGGUUCGACUCCGGCUGGCUCCACCA
rnacentral:tRNA from 2 species